rnacentral:rRNA from 1 species
CGGCGAGUGAAGCGGCAAUAGCUCAAAUUUGAAAGCUGGCUCCUUCGGAGUCCGCGUUGUAAUUUGUAGAGGAUGCUUCGGCAAGGGCUCCCGUCUAAGUCCCCUGGAACGGGGCGUCACAGAGGGUGAGAAUCCCGUAUGUGAUGGGUUGCCUAAGCCAUGUGAAGCUCCUUCGACGAGUCGAGUUGUUUGGGAAUGCAGCUCUAAAUGGGAGGUAAAUUUCUUCUAAAGCUAAAUACCGGCCAGAGACCGAUAGCGCACAAGUAGAGUGAUCGAAAGAUGAAAAGCACUUUGGAAAGAGAGUUAAAAAGUACGUGAAAUUGUUGAAAGGGAAGCGCUUGCAGCCAGACUUGUCCGCAGUUGCUCAGCCGGUCUCUUGACCGGCGUACUCUUCUGCGGCCAGGCCAGCAUCAGUUCGGGCGGUCGGAUAAAGGUCCUGGGAAUGUAGCUCCCCUCGGGGAGUGUUAUAGCCCAGGGCGCAAUGCGGCCAGCCUGGACUGAGGAUCUCGCUUCGGCUAGGAUGCUGGCGUAAUGGCUGUAAGCGGCCCGUCUUGAAACACGGACCAAGGAGUCUAACAUCUAUGCGAGUGUUUGGGUGUCAAACCCAUGCGCGUAAUGAAAGUGAACGGAGGUGGGAACCCUCACGGGUGCACCAUCGACCGAUCCUGAUGUCUUCGGAUGGAUUUGAGUAAGAGCAUAGCUGUUGGGACCCGAAAGAUGGUGAACUAUGCCUGAAUAGGGUGAAGCCAGAGGAAACUCUGGUGGAGGCUCGCAGCGGUUCUGACGUGCAAAUCGAUCGUCAAAUUUGGGUAUAGGGGCGAAAGACUAAUCGAACCAUC